rnacentral:rRNA from 1 species
CGAUAAGUUUAUUUUUUCAAAAAUUAAUUUAAUCGUACCGAUAACCGCAUCAGGUCUCCAAGGUGAGUAGCUUCUGGCCAUUGAGUAAUGGUAAUUUAGGGAAUUCGGCCAAUUAGAGCUGUAACUUCGGGAUAAAGCUUGGCUCUGAUGGAAAUCAGAACCGAUAGUUACAAGGAGAGCCCAACUGUUUAAUAAAAACUUAGUGUCGCGUCAUACCUUUAUAAGUAAUAAACGUGACAUGAAUCCUGCUCAGUGCUGUGUUUGUUAAACUGGAUUAAUCCAUUUAAGCGCCGGUAAAUAGCUGGGGUAACUAUGACUCUUAUCAAAGUAGCGAAAUACCUCGUCACUUAAUUAGUGACCUGCAUGAACGGAGCUAUGAGGUUCUCACUGUCCCAAAUUAUCACUCAGCGAACCAACAGUUGUGGGAACGGGCACAAAUUAUCCAGCGGGGAAAGAAGACCCUGUAGAGCUUCACUUUGGUCUAAUCUUGUAUAGUUUCGUUAGGGGUGCAGUCUAGGUGGGAGAUUUUUAAUCAAAUAUGAGAAACCACUACCCUUUCUGGAAUUAUACUUACUAAAAUUCUUUUCUAAAUUUUAGGAUCGGAUUAGAUAGAAAGUUUGGCUGGGGCGGCACACCUUCGAAAAAGCAGCGAAGGUGUCCUAAGUUAAGCUCAGUAAGGACAGAAAUCUUACGUUGAGGAUAAGGCCAAAAGCUUAAUUUACUGUGCCUUUUUGUACUAGGAUCAGUUUGGAAACAAAGGCCUAACGAUCCCUAAUUAGUCUUAGGUGUGUAAGACUUGGGGUGACAGACAAGUUACCUCCGGGACAACUGGCUUGUGGCUGCUAAGAGAUCAAAUCAACGCAGCUUUUUGAUUCUUCGAUGUCGGCUCUUCCUAUCCUAGUGAUGUACAAGUCACUAAGGGUUGGAUUGUUCACCCGUAUUAGGGAUCGUGAGCUGGGUUUAGACCGUCGUGAGCCAGGUUUGUUUUAUCCUACUGGAUAUAAUUUAGCAUCUUGAUAGUAGUUUGAUUUAGUACGAGAGGAACUGUUGAAUAUGGUCUCUGGUUUGGGAAUUUUAUGAAAAUAAAAGUUCCAAAGCUACGCCGUCUGAGAUAAUGGCUGAAGGCCUCUUAAGCCAGAAACUCAUCUAAAAAUAGA